UACGUAGGGUGCGAGCGUUGUCCGGAAUUACUGGGCGUAAAGAGCUCGUAGGUGGUUUGUCGCGUUGUUCGUGAAAACCUGAGGCUUAACCUUGGGCGUGCGGGCGAUACGGGCAGACUGGAGUACUGCAGGGGAGACUGGAAUUCCUGGUGUAGCGGUGAAAUGCGCAGAUAUCAGGAGGAACACCGGUGGCGAAGGCGGAUCUCUGGGCCGAUACUGACGCUGAGGAGCGAAAGCGUGGGGAGCGAACAGG
rnacentral:rRNA from 1 species